rnacentral:lncRNA from 1 species
UUCCAUUCUUUAAGCUCUUUAAGGUAAUCAAAAGAUAGAUAGAAUAGCCAAACAUGAUCUGACAGAACUUGGAUAGAGUUACAACUAAUACACAUCGGCGAACGAUAAUUCUCUCUUCCAUUGGUUUUGAAAUGACAAGAAAGAGAAGGACUUUCACCAUUUGCACUGAAUGCAACACACGCAACAAACCCCAUGCUCCAACUAGGCACUUGCACACUAAUUGAAGAUCCCUUACUUUGAUGGUUAAACCAGCCUGGAAUUUCAUUUCCUGGAACAGCGAUACCAAAUCCAGGUCUUGGAUUAGACCGACACUGUACCAUAAAGAACCAAAAUGUUAGAUAGAUAGAGGGAGAGGGGGAGGGAGAGGGAUAGAAAAAGGAUGGGGUUUGAUUAAGAGAAGACCUUUAGGUAUCUUAAAAGCAUGGUCAACCCCAUGCUGUCUUGGCCAUUAUGAUUGUACAAUUCCCAGCAAUUAAGACAUAUGAACUCUGAUCUUCCGGAACUAUUUAGCUUCAUCAGAUUUGGAAUAUUUUUCAGGCUUAUACAACCAUUCAAAUAUACCGUUUGAACUUUUGAUGGAACCUCAGGCAAUGAUUCAAGCAUCGUGCAAUCCUCCAAGACAAGCAUUUCCAAUUCAAAAAGCUGAUUUAAGCUUUUAGGCAGGCUAACAAAGUUAUUCUGGCUCAGAUCUAAAGACCUCAAUGAAGAUAAGCAGCCAAUAUCUUCAGGAAGUGCCCCUUCUCUUAGAUUGCAAGCGCGUAAACCCAGUACUUCUAAAGAACACAAACCAGACAAAGAAGGCGACACAACUAUUCUUUUGAAUCCAUCCAAAGAUAAUACUUUAAGGUUCUUUAAAAGAAAAAUGGAUGCUGGCAGUUGUCUUAUUGAAGUUCCACUUACAUCUAACUCCUCCAAACUUUCAACUUUCCCCAACUUCUCUGGUAUAUAUUUAAGUUCAGAGCAGCCAGACAGAUCAAGUUUUUUAAGGGAUUUCAAACAACCUAUGCUACUUGGAAUGCUUUCAAGGUUCUUGCAGUUGUUCAUGCUCAAUAGACCUAAGCCAAUCAAAUGAUGCAUCGAUGAAGAUAGUUUUGUAAUACCAGUCCCAUCCAAUCGAAGCACCGUCAAACAGUUCAUAUUUCCUACUAUAUCUGGAAACUUCUCAAGUUUUGAGCAGCCAUCAAGAAUGCAAACUUUAAGUGAUCCCAUUUCUAGAUUGUUUGGGAGAAUCCUAAUGCUUUUGCAGUUCACAAGAUUCAUAUAUUGAAGCUUCUUGUGAUGUGCAAGUGAUGGAUGGACCUCAGACAAACUUGUACAACCUUCAAGAAUCAGGUUCUUGAGAUUCGGAAUUCCAGUAAAAUCUGGAGUCUUGAUCAGGUUUAGUGAGUUGCUGAGAUUGAUGAUUUUCAAAUUAACUGCACUCUGCAAUCAGUCAGGGGAGAAUAAAUAUGGAUACUACAAUCAUACAUAUAUAGGAAAACGAUAAAAAGAAAUAUAAAGGCUCUUAAAAUAGUUGAUCUCACCUUAUACCCAUACCACAAUUGCUCAAUACUACUGUUAGCCAUGUGAAGUUCAACUAGCUGAUCCACCUGCAAACCAACUGGCAAUGAUUUUAAAGGGUAAGAAUGCCAUUCAAGAAAUUGUAACUUAUUGGAAAUAUCUUCAGGUCCUUCAGAAAGCUGCACGUUGUUGAUUUUGAGCAAUCUUAGUCUGCUCAUUUUAGAGAAGGAUUCCAUGUUCCAUUGUGACUCUUUUAUUCCAGGCAUGUCCAAGAAUAUGGCUUCUAUUUUUUCUUUUCCCUGUCAACCAAAAGGGAAUACAAGUAAAAAACAAAUACGAAGUAGAGAUGGAGCGUAAAUUAAAAUAAACUUUAUGGAUAAUGUUCUCUAUCAGCUACUCACUGUGUUGUCCAUCAGUGCAAGGCAGACAUCCGCGUAUGUCCACAAUCUACUGCGCCUUCCAGGCUCUUCAGGGGAUUCACAACGAACAAUUUCCUUACCCAUUAUCUGUAAUAAAUUAUGCAUCCAGACUUGAUCCCGAGAGACACUUAUGAGUGAUUUCUCAAUAAGAACUUGUGUUCCAAUAUGUGCAUGGAAUCCACAGCUGUCAAGUAUCCUUAUUAUUCGAUCUUUUUUAAAUCCCUUAAGGAAACAAGCAAUGUCUAAAAAUAUUUUCUUCUCUAAUUCAUGGAGGCCAUCAAAACUAAUGCGAAGCACAUCAAUAAUUUCACGAUCAGGAAUCUCAUUUAGUCUAUUAAUCGCACUUCCCCAUUCAAGGAUACUUCUUCCAUGCAUAAAUGAACCUAUAACUUCAAGAGCCAGUGGAAGGCCAUUAGCAUAACCCACAACUUGCUUGGAUAGUUCCACGAAAUCUUCAGCAGGCUGGUCAUUUUUGAAAGCUUUCUGGCUAAACAACAUAAGAGCAUCAUCAUCAUUCAAUUUCUCAGCCUCAUAAAUUCUAGCAACACCAUUUCUAGUCAAAACUUGUCUAUCUCUGCCUGUUAUGAUAAUUCUGCUCCCUGGACCAAACCAUUUACUCUCUGCAGCCAGGGAUUCUAGUUGUUUAUGGUCAUCUACAUCAUCAAGAACAACACGAAUCUUUUUAUGUUGUAACCUCCGCUUUAUCAUUUCAAUACCUCUAGAUGAAUCACAUAUAUUAGCACGUUCCAUUAAGAUUUCAGAAAGAAGUUGUUCCUGCAAACGACGUGGUCCAUCUUUCUCAACAAAAACUUCUCUGACAUUUGCUAAGAAGCAACUGCCUUUAAAUUGCCAAUGAAACCUAUCAUAUACUACCCUUGCAACAGUCGUCUUACCUAUGCCACCCAUUCCACAAAUCCCUAUGAAGAUUGCUUCGCCAACUUCUUCACCUAUAUAACCAUUUAAUAUCUCAAGACGAGAAUCUAUUCCCACUAAAUUUUUGCUAACUGGCAUAGUGACGCUUAGUUUGUACGAUAUGUAUUCAGCAAUUAUUUUAAUUGAUUCCGAUUCAUUCCUGCAUAUGAUGGUGUAAAACAUUAAUCAUGCUGUGCGCAAAUCAAAUCAGAUAGUGAUAAUGGGAAAAUAAAUAUUAGCAUAUUGUAGCUCGGAAAUGUAUGGUUGUUAGCCGGAAAUUAAUACAUCAAUCUUUGAGAAAGAUAGGGCUCUGACAAUAGAUAGCUUCAAGAACAGAGAGAAAAAGGAAAGAAUAAACUGAAAAAGGAACUAAGAUUGUAUUGAUGCUAAGAAUGAUUCGUACAAUAGCUAUCUUAUUGCCUAUAGAAUCACACAGUUACUAUAGAAGCAUGCAUACAAGAACAAAAGCUCUUCAUUAAGUGUGGUUUUAACAGACCAAAAGGCAAAACGAGUUCUAUCAUAUUUUUUGUCGACCACUAAGUUGUUUUUAUAAUCAUUUUUAACAAAAAAUUUAAUUAUUUAGCAUAAUUAAUUUUAUUAAUUUUUGAGUUUUUUCCCAUAUUAGCAUAGCCCAAAGAAAAUUUCCCAAACUAACAUAUGCUUCUCACAACUCAAAUUUUCACAACGCAUUUCUUCGUCUUUCUUCUCUAUUUAAUCUUUUAUUUGGUCUUUCAAUUUUUUACAAUGUUAAUAUUAAUUUCAAGAUAAUGAUCAUUUCAUUAAUAUAAACUUAUUUUUAUUCAAGUUGGGCAAAAACAUAACAAUAUUUUAGGCAAAAAUUAACUCGUUUUUAGCGAUUGCAUUUGAAAUAAAUAUUAACUUUAAUUCAUAUAUUUUUUGUGUGCAAAAGAAUAGAUGAAAUGAUCGUAAUAAUGGAACUAAAGUUAACUAAAUAUAAAAAUUGAGGGACCUAAGCAAUUGAUAAAAACUUGCAUGGGUAAGAUUUUUUUGAAAUGUAAGACCUGCAUGUGUCAAGUUGCGUAAGUGAGACCUAUGCAAUUGAUAAAAAUUUGUAAAGAUAAAAAAACAUAACAAUAAUAAAAAAUAAGGAUGAAAUUGCAAUUUUUUUUUAAAAAAUAAUUUCACAUAAAAUAAAUAGUAAUCAAAAGAAUGAGAAUCAAAUCUAAUAGAUUUAAAAAUUAAAAAGUAUAAAAUUAAAAACAAAUUUUAAUUCUAAAAAUAAUUUAAAUAAAAAAAUAUCAAUUAAAAAAAAUAAACCAAAUAUAAAAAAAAAAAACUAAAUUAAAGGGUUGCUAUAAAAGAAAAAAAAAAGAAAGUCAUUUGAUGCCAAACCAGAAAGAAUCACUCCACACAAGCCAAGGUAAGUCAUUUUGUUUGGAUGUCAUAAGUCAUUGCUCGUGGUGCUUAAAUAAGACAGAACAACUUGCUUGUAUGUUCUAUAAACAAGCCAACCACUUUUCUAGCUUUUUUUUUUCAUAAAAAAAGCAUGAAUAAAUCCUUAAAGACAAGGAUUUUUUUUAAUUUCAAAGGAAAUAAAGUUAUUUUAUUGCACCCUGAAAAUUGAAAUCUUAAAAAAGCCUCUAUAACAAAUUUAUUUAUUUUUGCUUUUAAGGGUAACUAAAUAAUUAUACUAUAAAAAAUACCUAACUAUCCUAUUAAUUCUAUAAUGACUAUUGGCCCUUAUAAAAAGACCCUAUUAUCCCUAAUAAAUAGUUUAUUUUUUUUUAGAAUGAAAAAUUAGUAAAUUCAUUGUUACAAUCCAUUAGUAAAUCAAUAGCACAUUUCUCAAGGAUUUUAUUUUUUUGUUAAUACAAUCGAUAAAGUUUUCCUCUAUUAUUCUAUAAUACAUCAGGAAAAAAAUAUUCUAAUGAUACUAAAAAUGUCUUUGUAAUAUUGACUUUUUCUAAAGAUGCCUCAAUAAAUUCAAUUUAGAUAAUUGAAAUUUUAUUAUUCGAUCUAUUAAAUAAUAGAAAUUAGCAAAAAUUCAAGAAUUUUUUUAAUUUGUUUUCAAUAUUUAUUUUAUAAAAAUUGUGAAAAUUGAGAUUUGAGACGUGCUCUCUUUUAUUUUAAAGUCAAAAUUAAAGAAAAAAUAGGUUGAUCAUAGAGAAAAGGGUCGUUAAAAAGCUAUUUAAUGAAUCAAAAAUAUAUACUAAUAAUUAUUUACUAGAAUUAGUUUUGAUACUCUUGUUGUGUUGUGAUUAUUUCGAUAUUUAAUCACACGUUUAAAUUGAAAAAAAAAAAAGCUAUGAUCAUCAUUGAAACAAUACAGGGAGGAUUUGAGAAUAAGAAUAAGUAGAUAGAUGAUUUACCUAUUCCGUACGUCCCAGCCUGAUAGAUUGGUCACUGUAGAGAGACAAUCUUUCCAGAUCUGGACCUUCUCCAAAUUUUCCUUGAAAUUUUGUUCAUGCUCAACGAAGGCUUUCUCAUAUGUCUCUGAGGGAUCCACAUCAUAAAAAACUGGCAGAACAGUGUGGUCCAUCUCUUUCAUGCACUGAACAAUCUUGACAAGUUCAUCCAAGCACCAUGGUGAAGAAGCGUAAUCUCUUGAAAAUAUAAUGAAAGAAAACCUUGAUUCUUCGAUGGCCUUCCAGAGAGCAGGUUCGAUGGUCUUUCCUCUCUCGAGCUCCCUAUCAUCCAUGUAUACAUCGAUGCCUCUCUGUUUCAGAUUAGAAUAUAGAUGACUAGUAAAGUUGUUCCGGGUGUCUUUGCCUCUAAAACUAAGGAACACAUCAUACAUAUAUAGUGGAGGAGUAGAAGAUGAAGAUGAGGUAUUCCUUGCACGCUGGUGGAAGCCAUGAAAAUCCCUAAAGNNNNNNNNNNNNNNNNNNNNNNNNNNNNNNNNNNNNNNNNNNNNNNNNNNNNNNNNNNNNNNNNNNNNNNNNNNNNNNNNNNNNNNNNNNNNNNNNNNNNNNNNNNNNNNNNNNNNNNNNNNNNNNNNNNNNNNNNNNNNNNNNNNNNNNNNNNNNNNNNNNNNNNNNNNNNNNNNNNNNNNNNNNNNNNNNNNNNNNNNNNNNNNNNNNNNNNNNNNNNNNNNNNNNNNNNNNNNNNNNNNNNNNNNNNNNNNNNNNNNNNNNNNNNNNNNNNNNNNNNNNNNNNNNNNNNNNNNNNNNNNNNNNNNNNNNNNNNNNNNNNNNNNNNNNNNNNNNNNNNNNNNNNNNNNNNNNNNNNNNNNNNNNNNNNNNNNNNNNNNNNNNNNNNNNNNNNNNNNNNNNNNNNNNNNNNNNNNNNNNNNNNNNNNNNNNNNNNNNNNNNNNNNNNNNNNNNNNNNNNNNNNNNNNNNNNNNNNNNNNNNNNNNNNNNNNNNNNNNNNNNNNNNNNNNNNNNNNNNNNNNNNNNNNNNNNNNNNNNNNNNNNNNNNNNNNNNNNNNNNNNNNNNNNNNNNNNNNNNNNNNNNNNNNNNNNNNNNNNNNNNNNNNNNNNNNNNNNNNNNNNNNNNNNNNNNNNNNNNNNNNNNNNNNNNNNNNNNNNNNNNNNNNNNNNNNNNNNNNNAUAGGAACAUAUUUUAAUACACAUAAUGCCCUUAAUUAUUGUCUAGAUAAAAGUAGUUAAAAUGAAAAUAAUAAGAAUUUAUAGAAAUAUUUUUAAGAAAAUAAACUCAAAAAAAAUAAUUAAAUUAAAUAAUCAUGUUUAUUUCUCUAAUCUUUUAAGUUUUUCCUAUGACUAUCUUUUUCAAAAAGUAAAUAAGGACAUUUUAGAUACAGUAAAAAGUUUUUUUUUUCUAAAAAGAGAAAUUAUCAUUAUCAUGAUGUAGUUUAGUCAUUUUAUCUCUAUUUGUUUUUAGAAAUAAUAGUUUUUUAUAACACUUUAUGUACUUCCUAUCACACGUAAAAAUAUCAAUAAAAAACAUUUAAUUAUUUACAAAAUUAUUAUUAUUUUCAAACUAAUAACUAUAAAGCUCUUAUAUUAAAUAUUAUAAAUCUUUCAUUGAUUUUUUAAAAAAACUUAGCCACCACUCUCUUGACCGAAUCUAAUUAUCAAAAAAACAAAAAAAAAAAUCCUAUAUUAAACUGAGUUUAGAAUCUCAAACUUUAAUAUUUCUAUCACAAACAACUCAAAUGUUCGGAUCACAAACACUAAUUCCUCUCUCAUUACCAAUAUCUCAUCUCAAACCUUUAAUUAGGGGGUAUUUAUGAGUUUAAUAGUGAUUGUUUUUUUAAGUAUUUUUUUUGGAAAUACAUUAAAAUAAUAUUUUAUUUUUUAAAAAUUAUUUUUGAUAUAAACACAUCAAAAUGAUAAAAAACAUAAUAAAAUAUUCUUGAAAAAAAAAUUCAAAUUUCCAAAUAGAUAUCUUUAAGCACUCUGCAACACAAACCAUUAGGAUUAUACUUGAGAUGCCAACACUACUUUUAUAGAAGGGUCUUAUUGAAAGACUCAAUUUCUUUAAAACUCAUGCCUCCACAAGCUUAUUUUGUUUUAUUAUUUUUAAUUUGAUCUUCAAUUUUUUUUUAUUUCUAUUUUUUUUAGUUGACCCUUUAAUGAUAAUUUUUUUUUCAAUUUCAACAUUUAAUUCAAGUUUAGUUUGUUUUAUUAUUUUCAAUUUGAUCCUUAUUUUUUUUUGUUUCCUUUUGUCCUUUGCUUUUUUGUAUAAGUGUUAUUUUUUUUUAAUUUAGUCCUUUGAUUUUGAUUUUUCAUAUAUUCCUGAUAAACUAGAAGGCAGAAUAGAAAGACAGACCUCCUGUUUAGAUGAAGGCAUGCAGCUUUUAUCCUCGGAAAGAUUUCCGUUAACCUGCUCUUGCAUGUUACCAUCCUCCAUACCUGAACCUACCACAACAGUAUAACAGAUGUCAUCAUAAACAGACAAUUUCCUCACAUUAAACAUUCCAAACUCCUAUGCGGCUAUGCCCACACGUGCCAAAUUCAACAAUAAUUCCGGAAAAUCACCACUAAAUCACAUUCAUAUAAUCGAAUUUUCUGUAAUUACUUUGCUCCUCUUGCAUAAACAAAAAGAGAAAAUCGUAAAAUAAUACCUUUUAAGCAAUUAAAAAACUGAUUAACCACGACAUUAAACGCUUAAUAUCUUGAACAGCAGAAUAAUUGAAUGAAGAAACAAAUAUAGGUGGCGACUCCAAACGACCCCCUCCGCGCGUCCACGUGCGACAGCAUGAGUGAGGAAAGGGCUAAUGAUAUGGAUGGACUAAUAGAACAAUGGUUGGGUUGAUAAAUCUCACAGAUGAGAGACCUUAUUAAAACAAAAUCAAUAACAUAAGAACUCUAAGCUCAUUAACCCCCGUAUUACUAAAUAACGAAAGGAAAUCCCAGCCAUUUUUUAUGUAAAAAUGGAACUCUCGUAAUUAAGGCCGCUAUUUUCAUCAGAUGAGCGCACAACACAUCAAAGUUGGUUGGAAAGGAGUGCCAAGGAGUGAUUCUGAAUAAUUAUUUUGCUAUGCAUCAAAUAAUUGUGGCUGCAGCUGAUAAUCCAUGCACCUGGUUUGACACCAAAUGAUAAUUCACAUCGUUUUUUGAUGAAUUGUGCUGCAAGUGGUAGCCGACUUGCUAUGUAUUACUCUCUUGCGAAUUCAUAGAUGAAUGUGAAACUACUUCCUGAUCACCUGGCUCUAUAUUGUCGCACAGAAACAUGGUCUCAUCAUACCACUGGUCCAGCUGACUGAAUCCGCCAACGCCAAACUGCAAGUUUUCAACAGGUUGCACGGUCUCCGAGAAAAUAGGCUGUGGACCAAGGAGAUCAAUUUCCAGGCAAUCCAUUUCAUUUAAUUGGGGUUCCUGCAGAACAAGGAUAUCAAUUUCCAAGAAAUCCAUUUCAUUUUAAUUCGGUUCCUGUUCAUAGUUAGGGGUGAAUGCGAAUGCAACGCCAUGUGCCUGAUGUGAUUGCAAUUUUGAGAUAGCUGGAAGCCAAGAUGAUUAUUAGGGGUGUUUAUUGUCCGGUUCCAUUUCUUGAGAAAAUGAUCCGGAACGAACUGAAAAUCAAUUCAAAUUGAACAGUUCAGUUCGGUUCAUUCAAAAUCUUAAGGUUGUGGGAGCUUUAUACAUUGCCUGGAGUUUUUGUUUCAUUAUUAGGACCAGGCUGUGGGCUGUGAACAGGUUUAAUAACUAAAAGUUUAUGUAUUCUUGAACAUUUUGAAUUCUCACUUUCUUUGUUGUUGUCAUGGGCUUUGAUCAGGUUAAUGUUGCUGCAGUUUGUGCCUUGAUCAGGUUUAUUGUGGGUUUCUUUGGCAAAACAUGUGUGUCAGUUUUUUCUUUUUUGAUCCACGAAAGUUUUUUUCCCUGCCUAUAAGGAGUGUUUGUUGUUUCUCAUUAACAUUUCAUUAUGGUAUUACUCUUAAGGUUGUAUGUGGUUUGCAUGCAACCAUGAAAUUGGGUGUUGCCCUUUUACCUCUUAGGGCCAAUGUUGUGUUUGUUUUUUAGGUGCAUCAAGAGUGCUUGGCAGGUUUGAUUGUUUGUGGCUCAUGUCACAGCUUUUUUCCCUUGCAAUUGGUCUGUUUGGUUUUGUCGACUGUGGUGGUUGAUGGGAGGUUGCUGUGCUGUUUUCUGCAAUAAUCUCUGUAUUUGCUAGACUUUUUCGGGUUGGAAUUCCUCGGUUUUUUUUGUGUGGACAAUCUGUUGCUUUUUUGGGAUCCCUUCCAUCCUAGGUGCAGUUGGCAUGUUUGGGUUUUAUUUUCAAUGGCCCAUGGGUUCUGUUUUUGUUUCAUGGCUUUCUAAGGUGUUUGCCUCUCUUUUUCCUGCUGCUCUUAAAAACUGAUGCAUGCCUUUCAUCAUUUCGAUUGUUGCAGGUGCGCUCCUUGAUUCGGCUAUACCAGACUUGGCAGCAGGUGCUCCAGGGCCUUUUGAUAUUCAGGUUUUCAUGCUUUCCAAGAGUUUGCCUCUUCUUUUGGGUUAUUUUGUUGUCUCAUUUAUUGCUGACAAGCAUCAUGUUAAUGAGUUCUUUUGUUAUGAUACUGGCAUGCAAACCCGACAAGAUAAAAGGCAAUGGAUAUGAUAAAAUGAGAAAUGAGACACACAAGAAUUUACGUGGUUCACCCAAUUUGGCUACGUCCACGGACAAGUAUAGAAGGAUUUUACUAAGUAAUGUGGGAAUUACAACCUCUCUCUAACAAUAGGAGAAUAACUAAAAUCUCUCUAUUACUAGGAGAAAACACCUUACUUACUCUAUCAUAAAUACCUCACAACUUUGUGGGAUUACUCUCUCUUCACUCUCUCUUCACUCUCUCUUCUUUCUCUCUAUCUUGGUGUGUUUAUAGGCUUGAAUGCAUUGCCUAUUUAUAGGCAAGAGUGAGGGUAUAAUGGUCAUAAAUUUAGGAGGAAUAUAUGCCUAACAACUCAUCCUCCACUCACCAAUUACAACUCAUCUCCCACUCAAAUCCCAUCAAUUAUGCCAACUAAUUAAAUGACUUUACAUUCUCCCACUUGAAGACUUUGAUGAUUUAAUCAAGUCUUCACACUUGAUCAUUUGUGAUUCUUCUAUCCUUUCUAUACUUGCCAUCUUCAUGCUGCUUACGUUUCUGCUAGGCCAUAAGAAGAUCUGCACCAUAUAUACUUAUCAGUGUUGACUGGUUUGGUCAAAGCAUCUGCUGGGUUUUCCUUUGUGUGAACCUUCUGAAAAUCCACACUUCCAUCUUUCACCACUUCACGAACAAAGUGAUACUGAACAUCUAUGUGUUUUGUUCUUGAAUGAAACGCUGGAUUCCUUGCGAUAUGGAAGGCACUUUGACUAUCACAAUACAAAGGAAUCUUCUCUUGUUUGUGCCCGAGCUCCUCCAUAAGUUUCUUCAUCCAUAUUGCUUCUUUACAAGCUUGUGUAGCUGCCAUGUACUCAACUUCUGUUGUGGAUAACGCUACAACAGUCUGAAGUUUAGAGACCCAGCUCACAGCUCCUCCUGCAAUUAUGAACACAUAGCCUGUAGUAUAUUUUCUUUUCUCAAGGUCGCCAGCAAAAUCUGAAUCAACAUAACCUCUGAUAGUAGAUUCUGAUCCUCCAUAACAUAAUGCAGCAUCUGAGGUACCCUUGAUGUAUCUCAAGAUCCUCUUAAUAGUAUUCCAAUGCUCUCUACCAGGAUUUGCCAUGUAUCGACUAGCUGCUCCCACUGCUUGUGCAAUGUCUGGUCUUGUACAUAUCAUGGCAAACAUUAAACUUCCCACUGCUGAUGCAUACGGUACUCGAGACAUCUCCAUCCUCUCUGCUUCAUUGCUAGGAGACAUACUUGAGGAUAAUUUGAAGUUAAUAGGAAGUGGGGUGGAAAUUGGCUUACAAUCUUGCAUGUUGAAGCGUCGCAAGAUCUUCUUCAAAUAAUUUUUCUGAGAAAGCCAAAUCUUCCUCUUACUUCUGUCUCGGUGAAUUUGCAUCCCUAGAAUCUUGUUUGCUGGUCCCAAGUCCUUCAUAUCAAACUCCCUAGCCAAUUGUGCCUUCAAUUCUUGGACUCGAUCUUUGUUGGGGCCUAUUACCAACAUGUCAUCCACGUACAACAACAGAAUAAUGAAAACAUCAUCUUCUCCAAACCUCUUGUAAUAUGUACAAUGGUCUGAACUGAGUCUGUUGUACCCAAGGCUAAUUAUGAAGGAAUCAAAUAUCUUGCACCAACACCUCGGCGCCUGUUUGAGACCGUAUAGAGAUUUGUUCAACCUGCAAACCAAGUUCUCCUUGCCUGUUUCAGCAAAACCCUCUGGUUGGAGCAUAUAAAUUUCUUCUUCAAGUUCUCCAUGAAGAAAUGCAGUUUUCACAUCUAACUGCUCUAGGUGAAGAUCAAAUAUAGCACACAUCGCUAAGACUACUCUGAUUGUAGUAAGUCGUACCACCGGAGAAAAUAUCUCAUUGAAGUCUAUUCCUUCUUUCUGAGCAUAUCCUUUCAACACCAAUCUUGCACGAUAUCGCUCCACUUGAUCAUUGCCAUCACGCUUUAUCUUGUAAACCCAUUUGUUGCCAAUGGCCUUUCUUCCUUGUGGUAGCGGAACAAGAUCUCAAGUGUUAUUCUUGUGCAGAGCUUCAAUCUCCUCUUGCAUUGCUGUCAUCCACAUAGAUACAUCUGUGCUUUUGAUAGCCUCAUGGAAAGUUGAUGGCUCUCCAUCCUCUGUUAGAAGACAAUAUGCAAUAUUGCUCUCAGUAACAUAUUCUGAGUGCCAAGCUGAUGGUCUUCUUUCACGAGUCGACCGCCGAACUUCAGGAGUUUCAGACUCUAUUUGUUCUUGCUCUUCAUGCUCUAGUGUAGCUUCAGAAGAAGUAUGAUUCUGAGUAUUUUCAAUCUGGACUGCUGUAGUCUCCUUUAGAAUGCUAUUAUGUUCUUCCAUUUGCAUUUUACCUUCUGCAAAUAUGACAUCUCUGCUGAUGACUACUUUGUGGGCAGUGGGAUCCCACAAGCGAUACCCCUUCACUCCAUCAGCAUAUCCCAAGAAUACACAUUUUCUGGAUUUUGAAUCCAGCUUGCUAACUUCUUGUGUAUUGUACAUCACGUACACAGGACUUCCAAAUAUAUGCAAUCGAGAAUAAUCAGCUGGUUUUCCAGUCCACAUCUCCAUCGGUGUCUUCAGCUCAAUUGCAGUUGACGGAGAUCGAUUUAUCAUAUAACAGGCGGUAUUGACUGCUUCUGCCCAGAAUGACUUUCCUAGACCUGCAGUCUUCAACAUUGCUCUUGUUCUUUCUAAUAGAGUUUUGUUCAUCCGCUCUGCCACUCCAUUUUGCUGUGGAGUGUAUGCCGUUGUGAACUGCCUUUUGAUACCUUCAUGUUGACAGAAGUUAUCAAAUUCAUCACUGGUAUAUUCUCCUCCAUUGUCAGUCCUCAAACACUUGAUCUUCUUUUCAGAUUCAAGUUCCACCCGCGCUUUGAAAGUUUUAAAGACUGCGAACACAUCUACCUUCCUUCUAAUUGGAUACACCCAACAUCUCCUGGAGAAGUCAUCUAUGAAUGAUACAAAGUAUCUUGCUCCUCCCAAGGAUACAACCGGUGCUUGCCAAACAUCAGAGUGAAUCAGGUCUAAGAUGCAUUUGCUCUUAGUUGUUGAUGUGCCAAACUUCAGUCUGUGUUGUUUACUUGUAACACAGUGCUCACAAAAAGGUAAAGUAACCUUUGUAAGCCCAGGGAGUAACUUCUGAUCAGAGAGAACUUUCAAACCUUUCUCUGACAUGUGGCCUAGUUUUUGAUGCCACAUCAUCGUCUUCUCUUCUGCAGGACUGGCUGAUGCAAUUGACGCUUCUACCCCAUGAUGUGUUUCUCCCAUUAAUACAAACAUGUUUGCAAUUGUUUUUCUCGCCUUUAAAACUACCAGCGCUCCUUUGACAAUUUUCAUUAUUCCAUUGUCUGUUCGGAUCUUACAGCCAAGACUAUCAAAUUGUCCCACGGACAAAAGAUUUUUCUUUAAGUCUUUCACAUGACGCACUCCUGUAAUAGUACGAAUUAAGCCAUCAUACAUCUUCAAUUUGAUGGUGCCAAUGCCAGCAAUCUCUAAAGCAUGAUUAUCACCCAUGAACACUUUGCCUCCAUAGAUGGGUUCAUAUGUAUGGAACCAAUCUCGAUUAGGAGUCAUAUGCCAUGUUGCUCCUGAAUCCAUUAGCCAGACCUCAGUAAGCUCUUCUCUAUCUGUAGAGAUUGUCGCUGCUUCACUAUAUAAAACCUCCCCAUCUUUUGAGGUGCUUGCAACACAUCCUUGAGGUUUUGAUGACUCUGCAGUGUUCUCUAUACCCUUUUUAAACCAACAAUACUUUUUGAAGUGCCCUUUUCUGCCACAGUUGUAGCAUUUCACAGUCUUCUUACUUCUUGAUUUGGACCUCCCUUGCCUUUGACUCCCACUGGAGCCACGCUCUGUUGAUCUCCCUCUUGACACCAAUAAUGCCUCUGCUUGGUUUGAACUAUUUCUGUCUCUUUUAUUUUUGCGCCUAUUUUCUUCUUCCAAGAUGGCGGCUGCAACAUCAUCAAAGACUAAAUAGUCUGUGAGGAUAUUAUUGGUCAAGUUGAUAAUGAGCUGAUCAUACGAAUCUGGAAGACUUUGAAGUAGAAGCUCUGCACGUUCACUUUCCUCUAUUUGUUGACCCAACGUGGUGAGUUGUGAAAAUAGAGUUCUUAUUGUGUUGAUGUGGUCAGUCACCGCCGUGGUUUCUGCCAUUCGAAGGGUAUAAAGUCUCCGCUUUAAGAAAAUCUUAUUGUGCAAAGACUUGGACUCAUAUAGCUUUGUUAGAGUCUCCCAUAUCUCCUUAGCUGUUUUCUUCUCCGCCACACUUGAUAAUACUUCAUCGGCUAAUGCUAAAUGUAUGUUAGCGAUAGCAUUGCCAUCCAUCUCAUUCCAUUUUGCAUUAUCAGUGAUUUCCACGGGCCGAUCCCCAAUUGCUGCCAAGCAAUUGUCUUUCCUUAAAAUUGCCUUGAUUCUCAUUUUCCAGAGUGAGAAAUUGCUCCCAUUGAACCUCUCGAUCUCGUACUUUGCUGCCAUUUUAUUCACCGUGAUCUAUUCAGCUAUCACCGUUUCACAGAUCUGUAACGUAUAUAGAAAUAGUAUCGUGUGAAUAAUACUUCACUAAGUAAGUUCCCAGGAAAGAUUGGAGGGGUCACAAACGGUCCCGCUUAAAACCCAAUCUCCUUAGACAGAACUUCCUAGACUGUAUUUAAUCACCGCACUGACUUUCUAUAUACGUCAACAGUAACGUAUGUGAACAGUACCGUAUAGAUGAAUAGUGUCGUAUAGGUGAAUAGUGCCGUAGACGUGAAUAGUGACCGUAUACACGAAUAACUAUUGUGUAUUAACAACACCAACCAGAAGGCUCUGAUACCACUGUUAGGAUACUGACAUGCAAACACGACAAGAUAAAAGGCAAUGGAUAUGAUAAAAUGAGAAAUGAGACACACAAGAAUUUACGUGGUUCACCCAAUUUGGCUACGUCCACGGACAAGUAUAGAAGGAUUUUACUAAGUAAUGUGGGAAUUACAACCUCUCUCUAACAAUAGGAGAAUAACUAAAAUCUCUCUAUUACUAGGAGAAAACACCUCACUUACUCUAUCACAAAUACCUCACAACUUUGUGGGAUUACUCUCUCUUCACUCUCUCUUCUUUCUCUCUAUCUUGGUGUGCUUAUAGGCUUGAAUGCAUUGCCUAUUUAUAGGCAAGAGUGAGGGUAUAAUGGUCAUAAAUUUAGGAGGAAUAUAUGCCUAACAACUCAUCCUCCACUCACCAAUUACAACUCAUCUCCCACUCAAAUCCCAUCAAUUAUGCCAACUAAUUAAAUGACUUUACAUCUUUUACAAUUGAAUAUGUGAUAGAACCGAUCUUGAAAAUUUGCAAUGUUAUGGCCCGAUAUAAUUGUUGCAUCUGUCAUUCAAGUGUUUUUGGGUUUGUUAAUCAAUUUUUAUUGGUUGGGUAUUUGCAGAUAGACAUGCAGGGCAGAAUAGUUAGUCUUUAAGUUCUUUCAACUUGGAAGAUUGUUGGCCUUUUUCUUUUUUGUUUGCAUGUUAUAAAUGUGGACAUGACAGGUUCCUUGAUUGAUAUGCUUUCUUGAUCUCUUUUUGUUGUUGCAUUGCCUGCAACUUAUGCGUCCUUUGUUGGGUGUGGUGUCAUUUUUGAAAUGUACUGUUGGUUUUGAAAAGCAUGCUUAUAGCUGAUGAUGAAUGUCUGCUGUUUUUUUAUUGCAAUCUCUGCAAUUUUUAUUGCUUAUUUUAUUAUGCGCUGAACAAAAUUUUCAAUAAUCUCUUGCAUCAGCCCAUUUUAUAAACUCUCCUCCACUCGUACUGUUCAUAAAUAUAUGACCAUUUACAUUCAUGCUUUAUUUUUUGUUGCAGGGACAGUGAGAGACCAAGAAGACGACAUCCUGCACAAUGAUCAUUUUGCUAAAUGUUAUGUUGGACUAUAAUUGUUGAAAGAAACUUCAUGCAACCUUUUUGCUGCACCAUGCAUGGUCAUUUUGUUAAAUGUUAUCUCUUUAGUUUGAUUGGCCUCCAUGCAACGUUGUAUUCUCAGAAUAAAAAACGUUUUAUAAUAUUGUUGUGGCUUGCUCUGCUUACAUGGACUUGCUGCUUUAUAUGAAAAAAGAUUUAAAAAUUUAUUAGGUUUGAAUGCUUUAUAUAGAUAUCUGCUGAAAAUAAUUAUCUAUGUCCACCGCUGAGCGUGGGCAACAAAGCUAGUAUAAAAUCUAUAGUAUACAGGGAUUGCAGGAACAUAACUGUGAGUGUUUGGUUUUCAUGGGAAAGAAAUAUAAUAGAAAACAUGCAUGUCUUUUUUUCUGUUUUAGUACUUUACUUUUUUUAUUUUUUAUUUUUUUAAUGUGAAUUGAUUAUAUUGUUAAUUUUAUGCUUUUAUUAGUUUAAUCUCUAAAAGUAUCAAUUACUUGUGACGGAAAAGAAUCAUUGGUAGGACUUAAUUUGUGAAAUUUUACAUUAUUUUUUUAAAUAGAAGAGGAUAUCUCAAAAUCAAUAACCAAAUAAAAGCAUUGGUGAGGAAAGGGAUAACAAUGUGGAUGGGCUAAUAUAUAGAAGAAUGGUUGGAUUAAUAAAUUUCGAAGAUGAUAGAACUUAUUAAGAUGGCAUUUGGUAAUAUUGUUGUUUUUUAAAAUACAUGAAAAUAAUAUUUUUUUAUUUUUUAAAAUUUAAUUUUAAUAUCAACAUAUUAAAACAAUCUAAAAAUAAAAAAAAUAAAAAUAAAACUCAAAAUUUUAUAAAAUACAAUUUCUAAAGAAAAAGCAAAAUGUUCAUAAGACAAUCGAUAUUAUAAAUGUUAAAUAAUAUUUUUCUAUUCUUAUUUAUUAAUACUAGAAUAGUAUUUUCAGUUUAACCUAUAUAUAAUUCAUUUGUAUUUAGGUUAACUUAAGCACUCAUAAUAAACAGAUUAUUGAGAAUUCUAGCCUCCUUUUAUGUUUGAUCUGAAUUACUUUAACAUGGUAUCAGAGUCUGUAGAAAUCAUGUUCACUGUUGUAACCCAAUUUUGGAUUCACCAAGAUUUUUUUGAAUGUUAUUUUAUUUCUAUUAUUAUUUAUAAAAAUCCAAAAAAAAUUAAGAAAAAGUUUAAAAAUUCAAAAAUAUAUUUUUCUCGAGUCAACCGCAUCUUUCCAUCAAAACCGAGUCUACCGGGUCAAUACGGGUCAAACCAUGUCGACCAGGGUAAAAAAUGAGUUUCGGGCCGUUUCGGGUCAAAACCGUUAUUUUUGACCAAAACCGAGUUCACCAGGUCAAUACGGGUCAAACCAUGUCGACCAGGAUAAAAAAUGAGUUUCGGGCCGUUUCGGGUCAAAACCGUCAUUUUUGACCAAAACCGAGUUCACCGGGUCAAUACGGGUCAAACCAUGUCGACCAGGAUAAAAAAUGAGUUUCAUGCCGUUUUGGGUCAAACCUGUUAUUUUUUGGUCAAAACCCGGUCCACCGGGUUUAUAUCCAUUGAAAGUUUUUUAUGUUUCAACAUAAUUUUCGGUAAUUAAAAUUGAUUUUUAGCGGUUGAAUCAGGCUUUUUCUAAUACUAAUUUAAGUUUUAAUUUUACCUAUAUAAAUAUAUAUUAUUAUAUAUAAUAAAACAAUAUUAAUAAUACAGAAUUGUCAUAUUAGGCGGGGCAGUCAUAUUAGGCGGGGCAGUUACAUUGUAGGCGAGCAGUUGGAUGAAUAUAUAUUUUUAUUUAAAGCAGAUGCUUGCUGUCCCCUCUCAUUGGCUAUAAAUAGCCAGUGACAGUGCGGCAGGGAGGAGGGAGAAAAAAAAAAAAGAAAAAGAAAGAGAAGAGAUGAAUAGAGAGACGAUCCUAUAUCCCUGUUCAUAUUUUUUUACUAUUUUUUUCAUGCGAGUAAGACAUUGAUUUUUAUUAAAAAACAAUUUGAAAAAUACCAAAUAUAUCCCGACACAUCUCAGCCCUUGAAAUAUUCCAAGAUUUGAUCCCGUUGCGCCACGUCAUCCGGUGUACCGAGCUUUCGGUGCACCGCGUCACACCCGAUCAAACCUCCGUUCAUCCGGACCGUCCGAUCAACCUGCAGAUCGGGCCAAUCACAGCCACACGAUCUUUCCAUCAGAGAUCCAACGGAUCACAGGCCUCAGCGGCACCGGUGUACCGUGCUAACGUUCUCACCGUAGCAUAACCCAGAGCAUCUCUCUCCUCUCGCCGGCGACUCCCUCUCUCUGCUCCGAUCUCCCAUAUCCUGCCAUAUCAAGCUUUCAAACCACCACAGAAAGGUCUCUAUCUUCAUAUAAAGCAAAACACCGGCCGUUUUCAGCGUUUACGCCGCCCCAUUUAGCCGGAAAAGGGCCGCGAUCGUCGGCUGCCACCGAAGCUUCAAGUCGUCGAUUCUCGCUCAUCAGCCAUCAACGACCGUCAAGACCACCACCAUCAGAACCCUCGACAUCAGAUCUACCAGGAUCGACCAUCGGUUGGCCAGAAAUCUCGCCGGAAAAUCUCCCCGCCGCCAACAGUAGCCGCGCGUGUGCCACACGCGCCGCCAGUGGCAUUUUCGUAUUUUUCGGAGAAAUUCGAGGGUAUUGCAGUAUUUUACCUAUACAGUGACACUCAGGCAAUUUUUUGGGUUUCUACUGUUAUUUUUGAUAUUUUUUUAUAUAUAAAUGCUUGUAAAUUUUCUUGCAUGUUGUAAAAAAAUACAAAAACCAAAGUCGACACGUCUCUUUUUUAAAAAAAGGACCGAUGUCAAAAAUGUAAAUACCAAAUAUGGAUUAUGUCCAUUAUUUCUUUUGGUAACCCAGACGUAAUACUCCUUUUUAGGGACAAACGUCAAUAUUUUAGACGAGUCUCCUAAUUUUCAGGGACUGAUGUCAUUUUUAACGUGUCUUCUAUUUUUAGGGACCGACGUUAACCAUUUGAAAAAAAAACAAAUUACCAAUAAACCCAAAAUAUAAUGGAUUAUAUCCAUUAUAUUCUUUUGGUAACUCAGACGAGUCUCCUAAUUUUUAGGGACUGGUGCCAUUUUUAACGUGUCUCCUAUUUUUAGGGACCGACGUUAAUCAUUAAAAAAAUUUACAAAUAAGCCCAAAAUAUAAUCGCAUUUGAAUCAAAUAAAAAACACACAAGUAAGGGUAACCUUUCUUUUGAAAGGAUGUUUUAAGGGUGGUGUCUACCUUCCCUUAAUCAUAACUAACCCCGUACCCGAAUCUCUGGGACCAGUGUCUAAUUUGGGAUUUCUAGUUCCCUCAAAUUACUAGAUGGCGACUCCAAUAAAAUCUUUGUUUCCCCCAAUUGAGAAAAAAACCCUUUUUGUUAAAUAAACAAAAAAGCGGGAGCCGUCGCCCGACGUCGUGUAUCGACAGAAUGGCGACUCCACUGGGGACUUAGGGUUGAGCCAACUGCUUGUGUUUGCUUUUCAUUUGCUCUUUCUUAUCGCUAUUUAUUUUUGGGCACUUAUUUUAUUUGCAUUAUUUAUUUUAUGCAAUAUCUACUGUGAUUCUUUUCAAUUUUUCAUUUCAUCACAUAUAUAUAUAUUAUUUAUUUGUGUAUUCACACACUUCACGGUGAACCCAUAAAAGCUCUGGACCUGAGCUCGUCCCGUUUAAGGUUAGAAAAGAGAGAUUCAAGUGGCAAGUGUGACUUAUGUCCACUGAUGCUCAUUUGGACUUUUGCUUGGAUUGUAACUCACCCUAUGCAACUAGUACUGUGGAGUCUUUCUCCCCUACUCAUGUUGUAUAAGGUUAAGAGGCCGAUUACUUCAUGAGUAAUUCGGGCAAUCUAAGAACCAAAAAAUAUCUUUAAGGAUAGACUAAACUGAGCCAAACCUUAUGAGCUAGAUCCUAUCAAGUAGGAUAUACCCAUUAGGACACGAACAAAUGUCAAUGCAUGAACAUACAUGUUCAUAUGCAUUUCAUAUGCUCAUUAAGUCUCCACCGAUCCUUAUAGGAAGUGUGAGAUGAAACAAUCCAUUACUAUUGAGGAAUUUUUGACCAGAUCAGAAUUGAGCCAGCAUGAUGAAGGGGAUUGUUUGCCAUCAGAAUUUAAGUCUCAGUUGCCAGAGCAUGUUAAAUUAGAUGACAGACCACUUGGUAUAGGACAACUGCUAGACUGCUGGGAAAAGUUAUCCUCUCAUGCAAAAUCACAUGCAACUAAACGAGGAAAUAGCCAGGGUUGGUUUUGGAAUGAACUAGAAGCCAUAUUCAAGAACAGAUUACAUGAUGAAAGCAAUGAAAUUCGAUUGAGAAUUUUGGCCUUAGGCAUAUAUGGUUUGGUUCUUUUCCCAUCUACUGAGGGAAUGAUCGAUUUUGAGGUUGUUAAUGUAUUCAAAAAUGUGGUGACCCUUAAAAUUAACCCUGCUACAGCAAUAUUGGCAGAAACGUUCUCAUCCUUGAAUUAUUUUAGAAAAGCUGGAAGGGGUCGUUUAAGAUGUUACUUGCAGUUAUUGUUUGUCUGGACUGUGAGUCAUAUGAUUGAGGGGAAGAUUUCAGGUUUGGUUGGUACCCCAUGGCAUCUUUACUCUAAGCUAGAGAAUUUUGCUAAAAAAACACUUGCAUGAAGUAGCAAUAACCAUAUGGAAAUCAAUGUUUCUAAGUCUAAGAAAAUCUCAAUUUCAUUGGAGGAGUCGAUACUCUUACUUCAAAUCUUAUCUGGCAUAUUGUGGUGAGUAUCCAUGGGUCCCGUUGAUAGAAGCCUGCUGCUGUAUUAGUUAUUGUCCUAACAUGGUUUUACGACAAUUUGGAUUUGAGCUAUAACACCCCACCUCACUAGCAAAAUAUUGUCCGCUUUGGGCCUCCCAGUCUACCCAUGUCCAGGGCUUCCACCCAGGUCCCCCUGACGGGUUUGUUCUUGGCAGCCACGCAUGGCCUCAAAACGCGUCUUUCAGAGUAGUGCAGCACACUCACCCUGUCCGAUACUGUCCCUUCUAGGCCCCCCGGUCCACCCAUUCCUAAGGCUUCCACCCAGGUCCCCCUCAGGGUUUUAAACGCGUCUUACUAGUCAAGAUGAGCAUGCACUUAUAAGGCCCUAGCUCUUGACGUUCGCUUCCGAUGUGGGAUCUAACAUGAGCAGUUUAUUCCAAGGACUACCGAACUGGCAACAUUUUAUGAAGAUUUCAAGACCUCAAAGAAAUUAUUGGAGUCAGUGAAGAAGGCAUGAAAACAUCAUGGUAGGGUUACUUCUGCUAAGAGAGUAGAAGGAAAAACAACUGAAAGAUAUCCAAUAAAAAUCAAAUUUCUCCCCCAAAUCGGUUCAAGUUCCUGUAGGUUUGGAGUCCUCAGUGAGAACUUUCUUAAGAGAAUCUGAUCUGGUCUAUUCCUCGUCAUAAGGAAACCUUGCAACAAAUAACAAGCAUGCAUAAAGCAUAUGGCAUUUUGCAUCCAUUUGUGCAUUUCAUUCAUUUAUCAAGCAUGCACACGUUUGAAACAUACGUUCCCCUACCUGAGGUCUAAUGGACUGAUGAAGAUGGAAAAUCAAGACAGGGGUUAGCUAGAGGCUCGUUAUCAAAAGGAAGUUGAGAGCAGUAAAGGUGAAGUAGCUCAACUUAUAAAUUUGUUUGAAUAAGUGUUGAGCUUCAAGAAUGGAAAGGGAACGUCUGCACAGUCUCUUGUGUGGAACACUACUUGUCCACGUUCCAUUGAAGUUGCACCUCUCCUUUUUCAUCAUGAACAAUGACAACAAUGUCUUCAGUCAUCAAUUAAUGACGACAACCCUUGUUCUCGUUCAACUGUACUGAUAGUCGUUCAAAGCCUUCACAUAUUCCAAGAGCACAUAAUAGCUGCUAGCUUUCUGUUCCUGGUGCAUUGGCCUUCUUUCCAGACAUCUCUAUUGUGAACACCAUUCCGGUCCAGCAGCAUCGGAUGCUGAUCUGAGAAAAACAAGAGCAAACAUUGCAACUUUAACAAAGCAGAAUUCCUACUAUAGGUGUUUGUUUGAUGUACUGCCAGUGAGGAAUCGAAGAGGAGACAAAAGGGUUUCAGAUUCAUCAUUUUCUCUCCCAGUUGAGACAAUGCGUGAUUCCACACAUCAGCAAUGGUGGUGCUGCAUGUUUUUGUGCGCUACCAAGAUUGCCUGGCUGUUGGAAAGUUUCUACCAAUCCACAAAUAACCACAACAACAUGGGAAGAUUGACAUGAUGGUGUGAGGAUUGUCGAAAGAAUUGAACAAGCUACAAAGAGGGGAAUGAUUGAAGAUUCUGCCAAGGAUUCUAGAACAAUAAUGAGAAAUGAAUCAAAGGAUGCCUCUAACGAUGGGAAGCCUUAAUUAUGUGGUCCAACCAGGUCUCACUGUAACAUCAAUUGCUCAAAUGUCUUUGCCACGAUUGACAUACCUCAACCACUCGAGUUUGUCUACCAGCAUCUGUUAGACUCUGGACUUAUUGCCCUGACUCCGCCAAUUUACCUCAUUUUGAGUGCGCCUUUGAGCCCUCAACUCCUUUUGAGUGCGCCUUUGAACCCUCACCUCCAUUUUGGGUGCGCCUUUGAGCCCUCAUCCCUUUGGUGGUGCGUUUUCUAACCCUACCUCCUUUUGAGUGCGCCUUUGAGCCCUCACCUCCAUUUUGGGUGCGCCUUUGAGCCCUCAUCCCUUUGGUAGUGCGUUUUCUAACCCUACCUCCUUUUGAGUGCGCCUUUGAGCCCUCAACUCCUUUUGAGUGCGCUUUUGAGCCCUCAUCCCUUUGGUAGUGUGUUUUCUAACCCUACCUCUUUUUGAGUGCGCCUUUAAGCCCUCACCUCCAUUUUGAGUGUGCCUUUGAGCCCUCAUCCCUUUGGUAGUGUGUUUUCUAACCCUACCUCCUUUUGAGUGCGCCUUUAAGCCCUCACAUCCAUUUUGAGUGUGCCUUUGAGCCCUCAUCCUUUUGGUAGUGUGUUUUUUAACCCUACCUCCUUUUGAGUGCGCCUUUGAGCCCUCAACUCCCUUUGAGUGCGCCUUUGAGCCCUCAUCCCUUAGUAAAAGAUACAUGAAUAUCAUUGGGGGAUUUUGUGCCAUUCAGUUGAACGGUUGCAAGAAUUUCAAGAAUCAAGUUGAGUUUGUGCAAAAUGACGUCAUCGGCCAUAUUGUCACCUCAACAUCCUCAGAUUGACAAGUGAUUGAAAUGCUUGGCAAAACACAGAUAUCGCCAGAAAAGCUGAUCCAAGAAGAGUGUUAAACUGUCGAUCCUUUUUGUUAUGAGUUUUGUCAUUCUGCAUUUUAUUUUGGGAUCACAUCUCAUCUUUUAACGAAACAUGUCUUUUCUUUGUCCCUUUGUUGUUCUGAAAGCAUGAGCUGUUUCUUUCAAAGGUUAUUUUGACAAAAUAUUUUGAUCAAGCUCCAACAUGCGUUUAAGAUUAGUCAAUCCUGAAGAUUAAAAUUAUUUUGCUUGAAUGACUCGAUGCUUGUUGAAAUGACAUGAGGUGACCAAGAAACUUUUGAGCUCACGCAUGAAAUUGAACCAUACACCAUGUAGCUAAGUUUUAGCAGUAUGCAUAAUGACACGUAGUGGAUUCAGUAGUUAUGGACUCGUGAAUGUUACAAGUCUAAAUCAUUAUAUUGGAUGAGGUCAAAAUUUAUCGGUUCUAACCGACCUUGCUUGAAAUGAGAAAAGGCCAUUUUUGUUUCAUCCUUUCACAAUUCUUGAAAUAUAUAUCCCUUGUAGUCCCAUUUUGAGCUGAUAGAAUAUUUCUUUCAUAAAAAACCCUGACUAGGAUCACACCCCACACUGGGGGCAAUGAGAAUCUUUUCCUAGAAAAGACGAAACAAUGUUAGAGUCGAUGGACAAAGGGAAGGCUUAGAACAAAAGUCCAAUAAUUGAGAAAGGGCUAGAAGAAGAAAGCCAAAGAUUGAUAAAGACACAACAAAUGCCAAAAGUUAACCCGAAAAAAAUCAAGUGUGAUGUCUUUUGGUGUGUCUAUGAUAAAGCCUUUACGAUCUUCAAAAGAUUAGAUUGGCUAUUCAUCAAAGAAAAGUUGGAUUUGCGUUAUGACCUAUGUUAAACAAAUUUUGAUUUUUGAGAUUAACAAGGUUAUAUGUCACUGUCUCUACAAAGACAACGUGAGGAAAAAAGAUUGAUGAGUAAUUGAUGGUGAUCCUAGGUUCUUGAAACCCUCAAACACCUUUUGAGCUUGUGAAAUUCCUUUCUUUCAUAGCCAUGAACCAUAGCCUACAUUACGUGCUUUAGAAAGUCCUUUUUAAUCAAGUAAGCAAUCUGAACCGAUAAAUGACGAUCUCAAAAAAUUGAAGAGUUGUUCAUACAGGUCGUGACUUCAUGAAUCAAGCUACUGAUUAUUAUGCAUGCUGAUAAAAUUGUUGCUAAGAAAAAGAAACAAUCUUUCUUGAUAAAGCCUCAAGUUUUGACUCGGGUACCUUGUUUUUCUUGAAAUUCAUAAAAGGUCACCUCAUCACAGACAAUCAAAAGAUAUACCCAAAAUUAGAGUUUAAAAUGGAUACAAAGAACCAUGGAAAAGCCAUUUUAAUCUUACAACGAGUCAAUUUCUUUUCUCUCAAAAUACAAGACAAUCAAAGGACUACAUUGAAUAGCGUGUGUUGGAUCUUUGACCAAUAAAGCUUGAUUUCCAAAAAUACUUUCAAAAAUUGACAUCUCUCUGAUUUCAUUUCAACAAUCAGACUUGAAUAGACAUGACCUUUGAAAUGUGAGAUUUGAUUCCAAAAUAAGAAAGAUUUUCAAAAGAAAAACAUCGACCAAGUUUGCAAAUUCCUGACAGAAAUGACAUCAAUUCUCCUCGACACUCCUGGGGGCAAUACAAUGGACCUCCGAGAAGGAAAACAAACAAUGUUUAAAUUAGCUGGGGGAUAGAGAUGAUCAAAUGAUGAAUCAAUAAACUGAGGACAAUAUGGUUCAAAGAAAGAUAAUCAGUGAAUGAGCACAUUCAUAUCAAUUAAGGGCAAUGAUGUUCAAGAACAGUUUAUGAUCCAGUAAACCCCGACAACAAUUGAGAGCAAAGAUGUACCUGAAGGACAUCUUCAUAUCUUCAUCUUGGUUUAUCAUCUCCAAUAUGGCUAUGACUAUUGAAAGAUGUUAUCACAUGAUUGCUUUUGCAUGAAUGUUGGAAGAAUGCACCGCACCCACCUAGACUGACCGUGAGACCAUUUGAUUUGAAGUCAAUGUGCAUUGCACCACAUGAGUAUGGGUGAUAAAAGCGACAUCAUUGAUGAGGUUGAGGCAUUUCUUUUCACAAUCUGGUUAGAUGAGCUGAGAAGAACUUAUUGAGAAAGAAACUAAGCAUANNNNNNNNNNNNNNNNNNNNNNNNNNNNNNNNNNNNNNNNNNNNNNNNNNNNNNNNNNNNNNNNNNNNNNNNNNNNNNNNNNNNNNNNNNNNNNNNNNNNNNNNNNNNNNNNNNNNNNNNNNNNNNNNNNNNNNNNNNNNNNNNNNNNNNNNNNNNNNNNNNNNNNNNNNNNNNNNNNNNNNNNNNNNNNNNNNNNNNNNNNNNNNNNNNNNNNNNNNNNNNNNNNNNNNNNNNNNNNNNNNNNNNNNNNNNNNNNNNNNNNNNNNNNNNNNNNNNNNNNNNNNNNNNNNNNNNNNNNNNNNNNNNNNNNNNNNNNNNNNNNNNNNNNNNNNNNNNNNNNNNNNNNNNNNNNNNNNNNNNNNNNNNNNNNNNNNNNNNNNNNNNNNNNNNNNNNNNNNNNNNNNNNNNNNNNNNNNNNNNNNNNNNNNNNNNNNNNNNNNNNNNNNNNNNNNNNNNNNNNNNNNNNNNNNNNNNNNNNNNNNNNNNNNNNNNNNNNNNNNNNNNNNNNNNNNNNNNNNNNNNNNNNNNNNNNNNNNNNNNNNNNNNNNNNNNNNNNNNNNNNNNNNNNNNNNNNNNNNNNNNNNNNNNNNNNNNNNNNNNNNNNNNNNNNNNNNNNNNNNNNNNNNNNNNNNNNNNNNNNNNNNNNNNNNNNNNNNNNNNNNNNNNNNNNNNNNNNNNNNNNNNNNNNNNNNNNNNNNNNNNNNNNNNNNNNNNNNNNNNNNNNNNNNNNNNNNNNNNNNNNNNNNNNNNNNNNNNNNNNNNNNNNNNNNNNNNNNNNNNNNNNNNNNNNNNNNNNNNNNNNNNNNNNNNNNNNNNNNNNNNNNNNNNNNNNNNNNNNNNNNNNNNNNNNNNNNNNNNNNNNNNNNNNNNNNNNNNNNNNNNNNNNNNNNNNNNNNNNNNNNNNNNNNNNNNNNNNNNNNNNNNNNNNNNNNNNNNNNNNNNNNNNNNNNNNNNNNNNNNNNNNNNNNNNNNNNNNNNNNNNNNNNNNNNNNNNNNNNNNNNNNNNGAUUCACUGCUUCAAUAUCGGUCCUAGCUGCCAACAUUAUUUCAUCACGAGGAAGGAUCAUGUCUCUGGCCACAGCUACAGCAAUAUCUUCAUUGUCCAUUACAGUAUCCUCUAUUGUAACUGGACGACCAUUCACUUCAAAGGUAGUACGCCAAACUGCAGGCUCUACUGCAGGAACAGGGUUUGGGUUAGCAUUGGAAGAAGAGGAAGACAUGGUUAAAGCUUCAAAAGUUGAGAACUUUGAGAGUAUUGAAAAUGCAAGAAGUUGAUGAUGUCUUUUGCCAAAUACUGCGUGAUUUAUAAGGAAUUUACUCCUACCAUCGUUUUGAACGGCAGCUCAAAUCUCAACUGUACAUACAGUACUUUCUUGAGAAGCUUUCCUCAUUUUUGGGAUUUACAAAUCAGAUCUCAACCGUACAUACAAGACUUUCUUGAGAAGCUUUCCUCAUUUUUGGGAUCCACAAAUCGAAUCCCAACCGUACAUACAAGACUUUCUUGAGAAGCUUUCCUCAUUUUUGGGAUUUACAAAUCAGAUCUCAACCGUACAUACAAGACUUUCUUGAAAAGCUUUCCUCAUUUUUGGGAUCCAUAAAUCGAAUCCCAACCGUACAUACAAGACUUUCUUGAAAAGCUUUCCUCAUCUUUGGGAUCCAAUUACAAAUCAAAUCCCAGUCGUACAUACAAGACUUUCUUGAGAAGAUUUCAUCAUCUCUGAGAUCGAUUUACAAAUCAGAUCUCAACCAUACAGGUAUGACUUCCUUUAGAAUUUUUCAUCAACCUUGAAGCUCAUUGUUGAAAUCACUUUCAUGUAUUUCACAGACGGGUCGGUUCACAAAACCAUUGCUGAAAUCACUUUUAUGUAUUUCACAAAAACAUUGUUGAAAUCACUUUCAUGUAUUUUACAAAACAAAAAAAAAAACCAAUGUUGAAAUCACUUUCAUGUAUUUCACAAUGCUAAUCUGAAAUCACUUUCAUGUGUUUCAUAAAACAAAUGUUGAAAUCACUUUCAUGUAUUUCACAAGACUAAGGUUGAAAUCACUUUCAUGUAUUUCACAAAACCAUUGUUGAAAUCACUUUCAUGUAUUUCACACAAAAAAAACCAAUGUUGAAAUCACUUUCAUGUAUUUCACAACAUUAAUCUGAAAUCACUUUCAUGUAUUUCACAAGAUCAAUAUUGAAAACACUUUCAUGUUUUUCAUUUGGGCAGGUCGCCCAUAAGAAUUAGACCAACUGAAAAAAUCUGUGCAUUUUUCAACACUUCCAUCGUUUUUCUUUACAAAACUUACUAUGCAAAGUCAAAAGAAAAUGAAUUUUCCAAUGCCUUUGCACCGUAAGUAUUGUAAAGAGGGGGCAACUGUUGUAACCCAAUUUUGGAUUCACCAAGAUUUUUUUGAAUGUUAUUUUAUUUCUAUUAUUAUUUAUAAAAAUCCAAAAAAAAUUAAGAAAAAGUUUAAAAAUUCAAAAAUAUAUUUUUCUCGAGUCAACCGCAUCUUUCCAUCAAAACCGAGUCUACCGGGUCAAUACGGGUCAAACCAUGUCGACCAGGGUAAAAAAUGAGUUUCGGGCCGUUUCGGGUCAAAACCGUUAUUUUUGACCAAAACCGAGUUCACCAGGUCAAUACGGGUCAAACCAUGUCGACCAGGAUAAAAAAUGAGUUUCGGGCCGUUUCGGGUCAAAACCGUCAUUUUUGACCAAAACCGAGUUCACCGGGUCAAUACGGGUCAAACCAUGUCGACCAGGAUAAAAAAUGAGUUUCAUGCCGUUUUGGGUCAAACCUGUUAUUUUUUGGUCAAAACCCGGUCCACCGGGUUUAUAUCCAUUGAAAGUUUUUUAUGUUUCAACAUAAUUUUCGGUAAUUAAAAUUGAUUUUUAGCGGUUGAAUCAGGCUUUUUCUAAUACUGAUUUAAGUUUUAAUUUUACCUAUAUAAAUAUAUAUUAUUAUAUAUAAUAAAACAAUAUUAAUAAUACAGAAUUGUCAUAUUAGGCGGGGCAGUUACAUUGUAGGCGAGCAGUUGGAUGAAUAUAUAUUUUUAUUUAAAGCAGAUGCUUGCUGUCCCCUCUCAUUGGCUAUAAAUAGCCAGUGACAGUGCGGCAGGGAGGAGGGAGAAAAAAAAAAAAAAAAAAAGAAAGAGAAGAGAUGAAUAGAGAGACGAUCCUAUAUCCCUGUUCAUAUUUUUUUACUAUUUUUUUCAUGCGAGUAAGACAUUGAUUUUUAUUAAAAAACAAUUUGAAAAAUACCAAAUAUAUCCCGACACAUCUCAGCCCUUGAAAUAUUCCAAGAUUUGAUCCCGUUGCGCCACGUCAUCCGGUGUACCGAGCUUUCGGUGCACCGCGUCACACCCGAUCAAACCUCCGUUCAUCCGGACCGUCCGAUCAACCUGCAGAUCGGGCCAAUCACAGCCACACGAUCUUUCCAUCAGAGAUCCAACGGAUCACAGGCCUCAGCGGCACCGGUGUACCGUGCUAACGUUCUCACCGUAGCAUAACCCAGAGCAUCUCUCUCCUCUCGCCGGCGACUCCCUCUCUCUGCUCCGAUCUCCCAUAUCCUGCCAUAUCAAGCUUUCAAACCACCACAGAAAGGUCUCUAUCUUCAUAUAAAGCAAAACACCGGCCGUUUUCAGCGUUUACGCCGCCCCAUUUAGCCGGAAAAGGGCCGCGAUCGUCGGCUGCCACCGAAGCUUCAAGUCGUCGAUUCUCGCUCAUCAGCCAUCAACGACCGUCAAGACCACCACCAUCAGAACCCUCGACAUCAGAUCUACCAGGAUCGACCAUCGGUUGGCCAGAAAUCUCGCCGGAAAAUCUCCCCGCCGCCAACAGUAGCCGCGCGUGUGCCACACGCGCCGCCAGUGGCAUUUUCGUAUUUUUCGGAGAAAUUCGAGGGUAUUGCAGUAUUUUACCUAUACAGUGACACUCAGGCAAUUUUUUGGGUUUCUACUGUUAUUUUUGAUAUUUUUUUAUAUAUAAAUGCUUGUAAAUUUUCUUGCAUGUUGUAAAAAAAUACAAAAACCAAAGUCGACACGUCUCUUUUUUAAAAAAAGGACCGAUGUCAAAAAUGUAAAUACCAAAUAUGGAUUAUGUCCAUUAUUUCUUUUGGUAACCCAGACGUAAUACUCCUUUUUAGGGACAAACGUCAAUAUUUUAGACGAGUCUCCUAAUUUUCAGGGACUGAUGUCAUUUUUAACGUGUCUUCUAUUUUUAGGGACCGACGUUAACCAUUUGAAAAAAAAACAAAUUACCAAUAAACCCAAAAUAUAAUGGAUUAUAUCCAUUAUAUUCUUUUGGUAACUCAGACGAGUCUCCUAAUUUUUAGGGACUGAUACCAUUUUUAACGUGUCUCCUAUUUUUAGGGACCGACGUUAAUCAUUAAAAAAAUUUACAAAUAAGCCCAAAAUAUAAUCGCAUUUGAAUCAAAUAAAAAACACACAAGUAAGGGUAACCUUUCUUUUGAAAGGAUGUUUUAAGGGUGGUGUCUACCUUCCCUUAAUCAUAACUAACCCCGUACCCGAAUCUCUAGGACCAGUGUCUAAUUUGGGAUUUCUAGUUCCCUCAAAUUACUAGAUGGCGACUCCAAUAAAAUCUUUGUUUCCCCCAAUUGAGAAAAAAACCCUUUUUGUUAAAUAAACAAAAAAGCGGGAGCCGUCGCCCGACGUCGUGUAUCGACAUUCACCAAUGUCAAAGCCACUGCUGGUAUCAAAAUCGUUAUCAUCAUCCACUUCAUUCCCUGUAGGAUGUUCCAUCACAUGUUCCAGCACGCUCAAUGCAUCCCUUUGAAGCUUAACUUUAGAUCCAUUUUUCAAAACAUCAAACAUGGGUUGUCUGACCUAUUAAAAGAUGGAGGAUGAAGAUCAAGUUUUAUGCUUGCGGCUGAAGAAUUAAUAUCUGAACCUUUCUUUUGAAUUCUUUAGCUUCUGCAAUUUGAUAUUUCUUCUUCUCUUUAGUUUUUGCAAUUUGAUAUUUGUGUUCAGUUUCUACAAUUUGUUUUGGAGUGAUAUUUUGUCUUUCGCUUCUGCAAAAUCUGGUAUUUUGACUUUCCUUCAGCUUCUGCAAUUUAAUAUUUUUGUUCUGUCUCUGCAAUUGUUUUAGUAUUUCUUCUUCUCUUCAGUUUCUGCAAUUUGGUAUUUGCGUUAAGUUUCUGCAAAAAAAAAAAAUUGGAGUGAUAUUCUGUCUUCCGCUUCUACAAAUCUAGUAUUUUGACUUUCCUUCAACUUCUGCAAUUUGGUAUUUUUGUUUUGUCUCUGCAAUUGUUUUGGUAUUUCGUCUUCUCUUCAGUUUCUGCAAUUUGUCAUUUGCGUUCAGUUUCUGCAAAUUGUUUUUUGGAGUGAUAUUUUGUCUUCCGCUUCUACAAAAUUUGGUAUUUCGACUUUCCUUCAGCUUCUGCAAUUUGGUAUUUUUGUUCUGUCUCUGAAAUUGUUUUGGUAUUUCAUCUUCUCUUCAGUUUCUGCAAUUUGGUAUUUGCGUUAAGUUUCUGCAAAUUGUUUUUUGGAGUGAUAUUUUGUCUUCCGCUUCUGCAAAAUUUGGUAUUUCGAUUUUCCUUCAGCUUCUGCCAUGUCAUCUACAACCAAAGAGAUUGUUUGGUUACAUUGGUUACUUGCUGAUAUGAGAGUUUUCUUUUCUCAUCCUACUCUUAUGUAUUGUGAUAACCAGAGUUCUAUUCAUAUUGCUCACAACUCGAUUUUUCAUGAGCAAACUAAGCACUUUGAGAUCGAUUGUCAUAUUACUCGUUAUCAUCUCAAGCAUGACACCAUUACUUUGCCUUUUGUUCCUUCUUCCUUGCAGAUUACAGAUUUCUUUACCAAGGCUCAUUCCAUCUCUCGUUUUCGUUUUCUAGUUGGCAAACUCUCGAUGCUUGUUGCUGCCGUAUCGUAAGUUUGAGGGGAGAUGUUAAAUAAUAUUUAUCUAGUCUUAUUUAUAAGGGUAGAAUAGUAUUUUCAGUUUAACCUAUAUAUAAUUCCUUUGUAUUUAGGUUAACUUAAGCACUUAUAAUAAACAGAUUAUUGAGAAUUCUAGCCUCUUUUUAUGUUUGAUAUUACUUUAACAAUAAAAAAUCUAAGCUCAUCCUAUAUAACGAAAGGAAAUCCCUGCCAUUUUCUAUGUAAAAAUUGUUCUCUCAUAAUUAAGGCUGCUAUUCAUUAAUGAAUCCCCGCCAGUCAUCUCACGACACUUUCUACCCAUAAGAUAGCAUAGACGAAGACUCUAAGAGAAAAAAAUCCAUUAUUUCUUCCACCGUUCCUCACAAUUGCAGCGCUAUUAAUUACCUGCAUCAACUGCAAUGUGUUUGAUAUCCGGCUGAAGCUUGAUAUUAAUCUCUGAGGCCGAACGUGUCCAUAAAAACUCACAAGGAGGAAGAGAACCAACCAUCAGCGGCAUCACCCUCUCUGGGAUCUUGAUUUUCGUUGGCUCUAGUAUAAAUUUUGAUGGAUUAGCACAAAACACAUCAAGUUGGUUGGAAAGGACCGCCAAGGUGUGAUUCUGAAUAACUAUUUUCCUAUGCAUCAAAUAAUUGUGGCUGCAGCUGAUAAUCCACCUGGUUUGACAUCAAAUGAUAAUUCACAUCGUUUUUUGAUGAAUUGUGCUGUAAGUGGUCGCCGACUUGGUUAACCGAAUAGACUGUGGAACAAGGAGAUCAAUUUCCACUUUCUCUAUAAAGGUUGUAAAGCGCAUAACAAUCCUGCACAUUUGAAGAGUUAUAACCUUUAACGGUUAUUGUCAGGAUGUAACUUUUUAAUUAUCAUUUUUUCUUAUAUUACUUUAUUAAUAUAAAUUAUAUUACCCAAAUCCAUCUUUUCCUUCAUUUACACUAACAAGAGUUUUAGUAUUAAUUAAGAGUUUUAUUGUGACUUUUAGCAUUUAUUAGGAAUUAUUUUCCAGGACACUCUUACCACCUAGUAUAUCAUGUUUUAGAAAGGCUUUUGACAAUCGACAUUUAAAAUCUGAAUAUCAACUCCUACUGCUUUCCUCCCCACAUUCUUCAACACUAUUCUCCUCCUUCAUCUAUCUUCAUCUAUUAUCUCCCUCGUCUUCUUUCCUAUUCUACAUCAAUAGAUAAACUGACUAGUUCAAACACAAAUAUGAAAAAUUGCAGCCUCAGUGGAGAAUAUUUGAGUCAUUCGCCCAUCUAUUAGAUACUGUUAGAAAUAACUAGGGGAGGGGGUAAGAAGAAAAGCACCGUGGAAAUAGAUCUCUUUCAUACCAUAUACCAUAUUAUAAUUAUAAAUAAAAAAAAAAAAACUAAAAGAGCUAAUGAAAACACUAUAUAUCUACUCUACUUCUAUUAUUUUAAUGUGAAUUCUAAUAGUAUUUUUUUUAUAUAUCGCAGGCUUUCUCACAUGUUUUUUUUAACUCUCUUCUCUUUUAUUUUUCUGAAUUUCUGUUGCUUGAAAAGAGUUGAUGGAUGUCCACCACGUUUAUUUUUUCAACUUUGUAUCCUCUGUUUCCUGCCUUUUAUUUUUGAUUUUUUUUGGAAGAAGAUAUAUUGAACAUGAAAAAAAAAAGAAAAAAAACCAAUAGAAACAUAACAGAAUGAACUAAUACAUCAAGUCCUAGCCCUUUCACAUAAGGGAAUGUGAGUUAGGGAAACACUCGGUGGACAAAUCAAUGUUCACUGGCCAUAUCUCGAGUUGGAGGUUGAUCUUGAACACUGAAGGCUCAACAUGCCAUUUUUUUUCCUAUGGCAUUGAAAGAUUAAUUUUGUUUGAUUUACAGAGUUUUUGUAUUGAAGAAUUUUUUAAUUAAUAAGGGAAUUUUGGAUCUUUUUUAUAUUCAAUGAAUCGUCAAUUUCUUCAGUAGAAUGAAAUAAAUAAAAAACUAUGAGAAAUUAGCUAACAAAAUCAAACUCUAACUUUCUCCCCAAUUUCUUCACCCUUUAACAUAACAUUUGUUAAUUAGCAAAUAGUUGUCUGCAACUUUUCCAAAUCUGAAUUUGGGAUUUUGAAUUUUCAGUGCUGUGCGUUUUUGUCUGUGACAAACUUUUGUGUGAUAGAGAGAUAGAAAGAGAUGGCCAAAUUUGAGUUUUUUCUUCUUUUGCAUUUUAUUUGAAAUAUAUAGAGAAAUAGGUAGAGAUUAUUAACGUGGUUGUCAUUUGUGUGCUCUAAAAUAGACGUUGAGUUUGUUAAUUGCAAUUGCAGGUGAUCGUGGGUGAUGUUGAGGCUGCUAUGGCCAUGCGAGAGAAAGGAGAGAGGAGGGCAACUGGAUAGAGGAGUUAUUGAAUGAUGAGUUCUACAUUAGACUUAGGCAUAGGUGGGAAACUGGACAGGUAGAGUAAUUUUACUUUCUUCCAUUUCCAGUAGACUGAUAUUUCCUCAUUUCUUUUCUCUCUUUUUUCCUAGAUUUUAAAUUAUUCUAGGUCUGAAGAUUUGUGUCAUGCUAUCUGUUGUGGUUUAAGAAUAUACAGAACUUCCAGAUGAGUUCAAGACUGCAGUUAAGAAGAACUAUGGGGGUCCUUUUGUUUUUGGCAUUAUGGGGUUUCCUGUUGUGCUUCUUGCGUUCAGGUGUUUUUUUGGCAAGCGUUUGAUUACUGGUGCAUUGUUUUCUCUUCGUUUUUUUUUGCUUCUGUUUUGUGUGUUGUGUCUGUGGUUUUUAUCUUUCUCAAGUGUUUUUGUCCUUUGUGAUAUUUUCUACUACUGUGGGCUUUGCUAAUUAUUAUGCCUAUUGGGUGCUCCUUCUUGCAACUUUGGUGCAUUUAUGUGUGCUCCUUUUCUAGCUCAACUCUCCCUCUUUUUUGUUUUCAUUUUCGUCUCUUCUUCAUUCUGGUUUUACCUAGCAUGAUUUCUUAUAUGUUUGCUGUUUCUUUUUCCUUACCUUACCAAUUGUUUUUGUGUCAAAGAAACUAAUCCUGUCAUUUUCGCAACCUUUUGUUUUGGUACAGGAAUUAAAAUGUAUUGGUUGGGCUAUGUUGUGCUGGUAUGUUGCGGUAUAUACUACGCACCAGAGCACUCUACAGUAGGACAAAUGUAGUUCCAAGGACCCUCAUAGAUUCCACUAAAUAUUCUCUCAUUGAUAUUUAUUCUAAUAUGUAUGGAAAUAGAUGUGUGAUGUAGAGUGUCGUGGCUCAUUAUGUUCUGACCAUUAUGAAGUGUGUUUUACCAAACAUCGCUACGUGGAUUCCAAGAGGGUGGCUGAUUAAUCAAAUAAUGAGUUUCAUCGAUGGGAUUCUGUUUUCAAUCACUCAAAAAUAGGCUCCGGUGCAACUUCCCAGCUGCUUUAGUUUUUUGCACUUACUGGGAUUGCAUUAAUGGAUUUUUUGCUUUGCGUGUGAAUAUGUUCACGCGUAGUGAGACUUGAUGAUUAGUUGUGACCAUGUCAUUGCAUUUAUAAAAAAACGGCAGCUUAGUUUUUGCUUAUGUUCAUGCUAAUCUUUAUCAACCUUUGUAGGUUUUAUGAGCUCCUGUUGGUUAGCUUUCGGUGCACUCCUAUUGUUUUUAACAAAUUUAAAGAAUAGGACAUUACAAUAAGCAUGGUUAUCAGAGCAAGGGUUUAAGAUUUUUAUACAUGGUUGUGAAAGCAAACAAUAUCGUAAAUAGAAACUAGCAAAGGGAAACCCAAGAUCCUGAAGGAUUUUGUUCUUAUGAAAUUGUUGCUUAAAAAUAUUGAAGGCAGAGAUAAGUGAUCUUCAAUAUGAGUUGGUUAUGCCAUAGAUUUCCACAUUUUUGAUGCCAACUUUCUAAGUAUGUAAAUGAAUCCUUUAUACUGUUAGUGCCAUUAGUUUUUUUUUUCCCUUUAACCUAUUUUUGGGAAUCAUAUAUUGUUUAGAUGAACAUUGAAUUACCGAUCGAUUUGCUAAUUAAAAUAUCACUUUUGUUUAUUGAUUUAUUUGACAGGCAACGCCAAAGUUCUUGCCGGUAAAGUUGGAGGACAAGCAAUAACUCAAAGUUGCUUAACUAAAAGAUUUUUAUCUUAAGGAAGGAAUGAUCCUUGCAAAUACCACAUCUGCUGGAAUGGAACCAAUGAUAGCUUCUGAACACUAUUCAUUAAUCUUCAAAACAAUUUACACUCCAAAAUUAGCUUCUCUCUUAAUAGAAGCACAGGAGGCUGGAAGCACACACUACUAAAAACAGGGGCUAUUAGCAUCUGAAUUUAGCAACGGAUAAUUCCGUUGCUAAAUUCAGUAACAGAUUUGCAACGGAUUAUACAUAUAUUAUUUUUUUAAUAUCAGCAACGGAUUUUAGCAACGGAAAAUCCAUUGCAAACUUUACGUUGAAUUUAGCAACGGAGAAUCCGUUGCUAAUUAAAAAAAUAACCCUUGGAAACUUCAACCUCAACAUCUGAGGUUAAGAGAGAGUGGCCCAAAUUUCUAUGAUGGCAAGUAAAUGGAACUGACUAUGCCUCUUUGUUUCAUGUGUUGUUUUUUUUGUUAUUUACUCCAUCUCUAUUGAGCGGCUCUAUCAUUCAUGAGAGAGAGAGAGAGAGAGUGCAUCAAGCUGUUUUAUCAUAACAGGAAGGAGGGUAGGUCUGUAGAAGAUGUAUGGAGAUGGAAAGGAGGCAUCUUAGCAUCUGGCUUUGUUGAUCAGAGAAGGUAAGAAUAAUUGACAAGGAGAAGGGUUCGCUCCCAUUUUCUGUGCUCUCUUUGUUCAUGCUAUUUCCCAUCCCAUAAUUUAUUUCCUUUCAAGCUGCUCCUUCCUUAAAGUCUCACAUCUACUUUGUCAGUUUCCUUUCCUUUUAUCCCACAAUAUAACUCGAACUUCCCUUUUGCUGGUGACCUGUGCAUGUGCUUGCAUAUUAGCUCUAGCAGAUGGGGUUUGAGAUUUUGGAGCUCGAAGAAAUAAUUUUGAAAAAUGUUGCAGAUAGAAGAAGAAUGCGAAAAUUGUACUGCCUGCACAAAUACAUUGAUCGAUCGUUCUUGAGUCUUCAGUUUUUGGCGAAUAAAUUAAGUCACAAUGCGUUGAGUUAUUGCUGUACAGCUACCACUGGCAUUCCUAGCCUGUGCUGAGCAUGUCAUUAUUGUUGUCAUCCAGUAAUCCAGCCCUUUUAUCUGGAGAAUCCCACAAAACUAGAUCCGUUGCUAAAAUGAGCAACGGAGAAUCCGUUGCUAGUUUUGCAACGGAAAAUCCGUUGCUUAUAGUUAGCAACGGAUUAUCCGUUGCUAAUUCUAAGCAACGGAUUUUCCGUUGCUGUGAAAUCAGCAACGGAUUUAUCCGUUGCUAAAAAAUCAGCAACGACAAAUCUGCAUCCGAUUUUUGCCGUUGCUGAUUCCGUUGCUAAAUUGUUUUAGCAACGGAUUUUAGUAUUAUUUGCAACGGAGUAGUCCGUUGCUAAUUACUACAUUUUUUAGUAGUGACCAUUGUUUAAGGGUCAGAGAUGUUCAUCGACCAAGCAAUUUUUUUUAUUAUUUUUUUUGCAUUUGUCCAUUUAUUUGAAUCAAUUGGGAUUUAGAGCUCAUCUUUCACUGCUUAAUUUUUUUUUUCUCAAUCACAUCAUGGUGGAAUUUUAGAGUUUCUUAGUUGUUAAUAUUUGACAAUCUUUGCUGUCUUUUUCUUUGAAUAUGUAAUUACGAACAAAAGACUGAGGCUGGUACUUUCUGAUUUUUUAUCAUCUUCUGUAAUAAGGUCUUACACAAGUGGAGCAACUAAUAAAAUCUUCUUCGUGGUUACAGCUAAAAGAUCAUCCAAGUAUUUACCCUUAAUCUCUCUCAAACUCCUGACAAACAUUAUUCCAAAUGAUUGUUCCAAGUGUUGAAGAAUUCAGUAUUUAAGGGAAAGAAUUCGUGAGCUCUUGAAGGCAUGAACUACAACAAAAUUUUCCUUAUUGCCAAUAACCACAAAUUGAACAGUUGGGAUAUUCAAUGACAAUGUCAGUGGUGGAGCCCAUGGUUGAAAGAAAUCAUAAAUAAGAAAAUCUGGCCAUAAUGUUGUCAGAAUGUUUGAGAAGCUACUACUUGUCAUAUCAAAUGAUUGCAUCAAGUUUUCCAGGGAUGAUUUGGAAAGAUCUGAAAUUAAGAAGAAAAUAAUAAGAAACUGAUAUUGUUUGCUGCUGUUUAUUUCUUUUUCUUUCUACAACAGGAUGUUGCAUAUUUAACAGUUUCUGCUAGCUUUUUCAAAAAACAAUUGCAUAUUGUCAUGUAAUUCAACAAUAUCAUUUUCACGGCAUUAUGUUGGUUUGCUGCUGUUUAUUUAUUUUUCUUUUUACAACAGGUUGCUGUAAAUUUGAUAAUUUCUUUAUAGGAGAAACAUGCAUUUUCAUUUUGCUUUUAGUAAUUCAAAUUAUUGCUUAAAAAAUUAUUUAUGUAAAUUUUUUUAAAAUAUUUUAGUAAUUCAAAAAAUAUAAAGAGGAAAAAUAAUAUAAUCAUAUUCUAAGAAACUAGUAUCACUAGUUAAUCACAAUCACAUUAAAUAAUAAAUAAUCAUCAUUUUUUAUGAACUACUUAAGUAUGCCUUAUUUGCAAAAACAAUUUUUCUAAAAGUUGAAAGAGAAUUUUAUUUGAGAGUCCAUUCUCCUCUAUUUAUAUUUUUUUCUUACUUAUCUAUUACUGUAUAACAAACAUAUUUAUAAAAAUGAAUAGUUAAAAUCUUUGAUGGUUAUAAUCAAGAUGUAACUCUUUAUCUUUUUUUUUUAUAUUAAUUUAUUAACAUAAAUAAUAUUACCCAAAACUCAGCGGCAGCUCCAGCUCCAGCGGCAGCAGCUGCUCCAGCUCCAGCUCCAGCGGCAGCAGCUGCUCCAGCGGCAGCUCCAGCUCCAGCUCCAGCUCCAGCUCCAGCUGCUCCAGCUGCUGCCGCUCCCGCAGCAGCUGCUGCAGCUCCCGCUCCCGCAGCAGCUGCUGCAGCUCCCACUCCCGCUUCUGCUCCCACAGCCACUGCUCCGGGUGCUCCCGCAGCCACCGCUCAAACAGCCGCCACUCCCGCAGCUGCCGCUCCCGCAGCUGCUCGCACUUCUGGAUCCAACGGAUCCGCCGCCGCUCGAGCCCCCGCCGCCGCCGCUCCUCGAGCAGCUGGGGCUGCCGCAUCCGCCGCUCCUCGAGCAGCUGGAGCCAUCCCUGCUGCUGCUCAAGCAGCUGGAGAUGCUGGAUUCGCUUCUGCUGCUGGUGGAGCUGGAGCUGGUGGAGCUUGAUCCGCUGCUGGUGGAGCUGGAUACACUGGAUCUGCUGCUGCUGCGUUGCUGGAGCUCCUAUGCCGCUAAGAGUGAGAAGGAGAAGUCAGAAGUGCUGUGUAUAUAGCUUGGCAUAAUGGGAAUUUUUUCAAACUUUCAAAUUAUUAAUACAUUUUGGGUAGGAGUGAACAGUAUCCCUCCAGACCCAAAUGAAUAAAAGAAAUUUCAAUCUUUCGGUUCAGGUAAAAUUGUCAUAAAAAAAUAGAUUAGAUAAAAAUGACGUGAAAAUUAAACAUUCUUUUUCCCAUUAAACUAUACAUGGAAUCAAUUAUUGUUAAUUUUAAAUUCAAAUGCUAUAAAGUUUAAAUUUUUCAAUUAUAAAAUGAAUAAUUUACUAUAUAAUUUAAAACUUAUGUAAGUAUUUAACAAUUUAUAAUUUUCAAAAAUAUAUUUCCUAAUUGUCAUAAAAAUAAAUAGAUUAGAUUUGUUAACAUUAAGUUCUGAAAGCAACACUAAAUUUCAGCAUUACCAGUUUCAUUGACUUGUAGUGGUAUAAGUUGAGGUACCUUGGCACAAAAAAAAAAAAAAAGAGUAAUUAUUACCUUUUCAAUGAUCUCUUUCCAGAUGAUAUCUCAACUGCACUGAGAAUAUUCAUCCAUCUUUGUACCUUCUCCUCGUUUUCCCUGAAAUUUUCUUCAUUCUUAUCAAAGACAAUUGUGUAACUCUUUGUUUGAUCAUCUAUCUUUAAUUCUUCGACAUCAUAAGAAACUGGAAACACAGUGUUCGAUCUCAUCUCAUCCAUGAAUCUGACAAUCUUGACAAGCUCUUCAAAGCACCAAGGUAAAGAAGCACAAUCUCUUGAAAAUAUAAUAAGUGACAGCACUGAUUCUUCAAUGGCCUCAAAGAGUCUUGAUCUAAUUGCCAUUACUUUCUCUGGUUCCUUAUCGAAUGGCAAAAUGAAUCUCGGGGCUAGAUCUGCGACUCUGGUGACAGGGAAGACAUUGGCCAUCCAUUGAUGGUACGACGAAGAAAAAGCUAAAGAAGCUUUAUAUGAAGAAGCUGCUUCUUUGCUUGUAACGAUAAAAUGGGCAGAUGGUUGUGAUGUAAUAUAUAGAGAAUAUAACAAACAGACACCACAAUUCUUCACCUUUACUCGUCGCUCGUAAGAAUGAAAUGACAACUCAAUGUUGCUAAAGGAUCCAUGCUUCCAUUCUUUAAGCUCGUUAAGAUGAUCAAAAGAUAGAUAGAAUAACCAAAGAUGAUCUGACAGAAGUUGGAUAGAGUUACAACUAAUACACAUCGUCGAAGGAUAAUUUUCUCUUCCAUUGGCUUUGAAAUGACAAAAAAGAGAAGGACUUUCACCAUUUGCACUGAAUGCAACACAAGCAGCAAACCCCAUGCUCCAACUAGGCACUUGCACACUAAUUGAAGAUCCUUUACUUUGAUGGUUAAACCAGCCUGGAAUUUCAUUUCCUGGAACAGCGAUACCAAAUCCUGUUCUUGGAUUAGAC